rnacentral:rRNA from 1 species
AUCUAUAUAUGAACAUUCUGUUAACUUAAAUUAAAAAUUUAAUAAUAGGAAUCAGUUCAGUCGUAUAUAAAAGAAGAGUAUGGCAUUGGCUCAAAGUAUGGCGGUACUGAAGAUACACACAUGGUAGCUGUAGCGAGAGGUGCGUUGCUUGGCCCGGGCUUUCAUUUUUACAUUUUGUGUAGAUGAAGUUCUUGGGCUGAGGGAUAUUAUUCUUAGAAAAUGUUCAGGAAAACCACUAACACCAGUGAAGAGACUUUAGAUAUGCGGGAAAUCGUGAAUAAGAUGCGGUAGAUUGUGCCUGGCUAAAUCAGUGCCAGCAGCAGCGGUUACACUGAAAGGCAAAUUCAUACUAUGACAGUAAGAUGGAUAGCUUAUAGCACUUAGUUGACUCAAGAGUAUUUAAUUUAAGGUAAAAUUUAAUUAAAGUUGUUUCCGAUUUUGUCAAGGCGAGAGUGUUCCAUGAAAGUCUGGGGGGAGACUAGGACUAGAUACCCUAUUAUUCCUGACUAUAAAUUAAUCUAUUACUAGAGUACUACGAACACUUAAUGUUUAAAACUCAAAAUGCUUGGCGGUGCUACUAUAUAGUUAGGGGAGCUUGUCUCAUAAACGAUAAUCCACGAGAGACCUUACCGCAACUUGCUUAGUUUAUAUACCGUCGUCGUCAGUUAACUUCUAAGAAUAUAGACGUUGGCGAAAUAGGAAAUAGUCUAUUACGUCAGAUCAAGGUGUAGCUAAUGCUGCGGAGAGGAUGAGCUACAAUUAAUAUUUAUAAAACGGAGUUAAAGAUGAAAUUCUUUAAUCGAAGGUGGACUUAACAGUAAUUAAAUCUAUAGAAAUUUAAUGAAACUUUCUAGAGCGUGUACAUAUCGCCCGUCGCUCUCGUUGAAAAAUGAGAUAAGUCGUAACAUAGUAGGGGUAACGGAAGUUGCUCCUGGG